GGUGGGAGGUGGGGCUGGGCUCUGUUACCUAACAGUGGUGGGGGGACAGCUGGGAAAGGAUGCAGGGUUGUGGCAUUGCUUCUGGGGUGCUGUGUGAAGCCAUCAAUCUUCUCCCCUCUCUGGGCCUUGGGAAUAUAUCACCCCCUCUGGGGGCGUUGGUUCAUCUUGAAUCCCUCAUCUCCCAGCUCCGGCCUGAUGGAAUGGGCUGCCCCAGAGCGAAGGGAGGAAUCGUCUCUGUCUGUCUCCUCCCCACCUGCACUCCACACAGGUGUGAAUCAGUCCAGGGCUCCUCUCUGUUCUCCACAUGUGGCUGUGGCGUGUUGAAUGCAGAAGUUUCACAGGCACGUACCAGACGCUGCAUUCUGGAAAUGGCUCUGGCCGUUGGUGCAUGUGAGGGCAGCUCCCGGAUUUUCCUGGUUACACACGAAGCCACUGUGAACACUUUUGCCGUGUCUCUUCUGCACGUGCUUGAUGAUUUCUGGAGGCUAGAAGAUCCCGUAGAAGGAGAAUUGCUGGGUCAAAGGGAGAGGAGACUUCGGGAGAACAUCUGUUCUGAGACCUCACUUCAGGACCCAGGAGUGACAUCCUCCAAACCCUGUCUGGGUUUCUGUUUCCCUGGAAUGGGCUUGGAGAAAGCAGAGGAGAUAGGACUGGGAAGCCUGGAACUCUGGGGCUACGAGGGAGCUCUGGCAGCAGGGACCCACUCCUCCAGGAAGCCUUCCCUGACCACCCCAGGCUGGGUCGUCACUUCUCCGUGCUACACCUGAAACAACAAGAGUCCCAUUGUGCUCAUGCCUGUUUACAGCUGCCAGACUGGGACCUCCUGGAGGGCAUGAUUAGCAGGGCCAGCAAGGAAUGAAAGUCUCUAAAGCUGGCACUUGGCGUGUGCACACACAGGUGGGGUCCUGGGUCUCCCUCAGCCAGCUGGUGUCCCCCAAAGUGUACACCUAGGUGGGCCUUAUGUGC
rnacentral:lncRNA from 13 species